GACGAACGCUGGCGGCGUGCUUAACACAUGCAAGUCGAACGAAGAGCGAUGGAAGCUUGCUUCUAUCAAUCUUAGUGGCGAACGGGUGAGUAACGCGUAAUCAACCUGCCCUUCAGAGGGGGACAACAGUUGGAAACGACUGCUAAUACCGCAUACGAUCUAAUCUCGGCAUCGAGGAAAGAUGAAAGGUGGCCUCUAUUUAUAAGCUAUCACUGAAGGAGGGGAUUGCGUCUGAUUAGCUAGUUGGAGGGGUAACGGCCCACCAAGGCGAUGAUCAGUAGCCGGUCUGAGAGGAUGAACGGCCACAUUGGGACUGAGACACGGCCCAGACUCCUACGGGAGGCAGCAGUGGGGAAUCUUCCGCAAUGGACGAAAGUCUGACGGAGCAACGCCGCGUGAGUGAUGGCGGCCUUCGGGUUGUAAAGCUCUGUUAAUCGGGACGAAAGGCCUUCUUGCGAACAGUUAGAA
rnacentral:rRNA from 1 species